UCAAUCUCCUAAUAUUCAAACCACACCCAAUCCAACAUCGGUGCGAAUCCUUAUGAUUCAUUCGUUCUUCUUUUAAAUAUUCAUAAAUUCCUCUCAGUAGAAAUAUUGAAAGCGGAAAUCACUGAAAUGUUUAAUAAUAGGUGAUCAAAUCUAAUAAAGCCCAAAGGACUUAACAAUAGAUUUGAUAACACUCUAAUGAUUCCUCACUAUACUUAUAUUUUUAUAAUUUUCAGUAAUUGCUUUUAAAUAUUAAAAUAUUCAUUGAUUAAAUGUACUGGACUUUAAAUUACAAAAUCAGUUUGAGUUCUCACAGACAAAGACAUUGGAAAAUGUAAAUACUAGACAAUGAAGUUCAACAUAUAAUGAACAAUUUUUAAAAUGGAACAUCUUCAGUGGUUUUAUAGUAGUGAACACUUUAGCAAUUUUUAUGUACCGGUAUUUAAAUGUGUGGGGUUUUUUCAAUUUUUUAUUUGGGGGGGGGGGGGGGGUGUUGUUAAGGGUUGGGGGUUUGUGGGGGGGGGGUUGUUUUCGGUUUGUAUUUUUUUUUGUUUUGUUUUUUUUUCUUUUGAGGACAGAGUGUUGCAUGCAUGUAAAACGCUUACACCUUUUUUGGAGUUUUUUCAAAUUUCUAUUAUCGUUUUGAUGUAUUUUUAUUCGCAUGCCUUAAUUCUUUUCGUAGAUAAUGAAUAAAUUUCUCCAAAAAUAU
rnacentral:sRNA from 1 species